rnacentral:rRNA from 1 species
CCUACGGGAGGCAGCAGUGGGGAAUUUUGGACAAUGGGCGCAAGCCUGAUCCAGCCAUUCCGCGUGCAGGAUGAAGACCCUCGGGUUGUAAACUGCUUUUGUACGGAACGAAACGCGCUGAGCUAAUACCUCGGCGUAAUGACGGUACCGUAAGAAUAAGCACCGGCUAACUACGUGCCAGCAGCCGCGGUAAU